rnacentral:rRNA from 1 species
GACGAACGCUGGCGGCGUGCUUAACACAUGCAAGUCGAACGGCAAGGCCCUGCCAACGUGGGGUGCUCGCGUGGCGAACGGGUGAGUAACACGUGAGUCACCCGCCCUUGACUUUGGGAUAACGUCAGGCAACCGGGGCUACUACCGGCUAGGAGCUCCUGCUGCAUGGUGGGGGUUGGAAAGCUUCGGCGGAUGGGGAUGGACUCGCGGUUUAUCAGCUUGUUGGUGGGGGAGUGGCAUACCAAGGCAGUGGCGGAUAGCCGGCCUGGGAGGGUGACCGGCCACAAGGGGACUGAGGGACGGCCCAGACGCGUACGGGAGGCAGCAGUGGGGAAUAUGGCACAAUGGUCGGAAGCCUGAGGCAGCAACGCCGCGGGCGGGAUGACGGCCUUCGGGUUGUGAACCGCUUGCGCCUGUUACGAAGCGUGAGUGACGGUAAUGGGUAGAGAAGCACCGGCUAACUACGUG